CACACGACCGUACCGCAAACCGACACUGGUGCGCGAGAUGAGUAUUCUAAGGCGCUUGAGAGAACUCAGGAGAAGGAACUCGGCAAAUUGACACCGUAACUUCGGAAGAAGGUGUGCCUUUAGUAGGUGAACCUGUACAAGGGGAGCCCAAUGAGGUUGCAAAAAAUCGGUGGCUGCGACUGUUUAAUAAAAACACAGCACUCUGCAAACACGAAAGUGGACGUAUAGGGUGUGACGCCUGCCCGGUGCUGGAAGAUUAAAUGAUGGGGUGCAAGCUCUUGAUCGAAGCCCCAGUAAACGGCGGCCGUAACAAUAACGGUCCUAAGGUAGCGAAAUUCCUUGUCGGGUAGUUCCGACCUGCACGAAUGGCGUAACGAUGGCCACACUGUCUCCUCCUGAGACUCAGCGAAGUUGAAAUGUUUGUGAUGAUGCAAUCUCCCCGCGGAAAGACGGAAAGACCCCAUGAACCUUUACUGUAGCUUUGUAUUGGACUUUGAACAGAUCUGUGUAGGAUAGGUGGGAGGCUUUGAAGUGUGGUCGCUAGAUCGCAUGGAGCCAACGUUGAAAUACCACCCUGGUGUGUUUGAGGUUCUAACCUAGGCCCGUAAUCCGGGUCGGGGACAGUGCAUGGUAGGCAGUUUGACUGGGGCGGUCUCCUCCCAAAGCGUAACGGAGGAGUUCGAAGGUACGCUAGGUACGGUCGGACAUCGUGCUAAUAGUGCAAUGGCAUAGCGUGCUUAACUGCGAGACUGACAAGUCGAGCAGAUGCGAAAGCAGGACAUAGUGAUCCGGUGGUUCUGUAUGGAAGGGCCAUCGCUCAACGGAUAAAAGGUACUCUGGGAUAACAGGCUGAUACCGCCCAAGAGUUCAUAUCGACGGCGGUGUUUGGCACCUCGAUGUCGGCUCAUCUCAUCCUGGGGCUGUAGCCGGUCCCAAGGGUAUGGCUGUUCGCCAUUUAAAGAGGUACGUGAGCUGGGUUUAAAACGUCGUGAGACAGUUUGGUCCCUAUCUUCCGUGGGCGCUGCAGAUUUGAGGAAGCCUGCUCCUAGUACGAGAGGACCGGAGUGGACACACCUCUGGUGUAUCGGUUGUCACGCCAGUGGCAUUGCCGAGUAGCUAUGUGUGGAAGAGAUAACCGCUGAAAGCAUCUAAGCGGGAAACUCGUUUCAAGAUGAGAUCUGCCGGGGCCUUGAGCCCCCUAAAGAGUCGUUCAAGACCAGGACGUUGAUAGGUCGGGUGUGGAAGCGCAGUAAUGCGUUAAGCUAACCGAUACUAAUUGCUCGUGCGGCUUGACCC
rnacentral:rRNA from 1 species